AGCGUUCCUCAGGCAAUGAAAAGGUAUGCAUCUAUAAAACCUAAAGUCAUGCAUAUCCUGUGAAUUUUUUGGUUUGUUAUAUUUUUGUUGAUCACUUGUUAGUGAGGAGUGUAUAUAUUUUACCAUUGGAGAGGCGGCAGUGCUGAUGCCAUGGCUUGGUAGUCUUCAAUGAAAAACAUUAGUACUGGUUAAAUUUCCGCACUUCUUGGUGAUCCUCGUAACUCCUCUGGCGGAUAAAGAAAAGAGAAUAUUUAACAACCUGUCAUUACUGUUUAAUCUGAUGCAAGACAUUGUCUAAGAAAAUUGAUUAAUUCUGUUUCCUCUGGUACUCGUAGACACUGGACACAGGUUUUGAUGUUGGCAAACAUUUUAUUUUGUUUAGUUUCUUUCUACUUUCUGUUUAUAAGAUAUUCUUAAUUAAUGUUUAAAAUGAUACUUCAUUGGCUUGGUCUAAAGGCUCUUGGAUUUUCCAAGUAAAUUUCUCAUUUAAGCAAUUGCUGUGUCAGGCUUCUGGCACUAGAGAAUAUG
rnacentral:misc_RNA from 1 species